rnacentral:rRNA from 1 species
UACGUAGGGGGCAAGCGUUGUCCGGAAUCAUUGGGCGUAAAGAGCGCGUAGGCGGUUCGAUAAGUCGGCUGUGAAAGUCAUGGGCUCAACCCAUGAAAGCCGGCCGAUACUGUCGGACUAGAGUCCGGAAGAGGCGAGUGGAAUUCCCGGUGUAGCGGUGAAAUUCGUAGAUAUCGAGAGGAACACCGGUGGCGAAGGCGGCCAACUGGACGAAUACUGACGCUGAGACUCGAAAGACGUGGGGAGCAAACAGG